rnacentral:rRNA from 1 species
UACAGAGGUCUCAAGCGUUGCUCGGAUUCAUUGGGCGUAAAGGGCGCGUAGGCGGCGAGGUAAGUCGGGUGUGAAAUCUCAGAGCUCAACUCUGAAACUGCACUCGAUACUGCUUUGCUAGAGGACUGGAGAGGAGAUUGGAAUUCACGGUGUAGCAGUGAAAUGCGUAGAGAUCGUGAGGAAGACCAGUGGCGAAGGCGGAUCUCUGGACAGUUCCUGACGCUGAGGCGCGAAGGCCAGGGGAGCAAACGGG